UCUGGCCCGAGAGGCCCGUGCCGGGGGCCCGGCGACCGAGGCAUCAGACGGGGCUUCCUGGUACGCCGUACGGGUGGAGCACCAACACCGACGUGCUGAGUGCUCUACCCACAAGCCCGUGAUCGGUUCCAAGAUGUCCGGCGCGUUCCUAUUCGCCAGGGAAGUACCGGGAUUUUCCGUCCUGCGUCAGCUCUGGCUCUGCCUGAGAUCCAAUGCCUCCGGGCAGCGGGCCUCAGCCAGGCCGGGUAUAAAACACGGUGGGGACGAGUGCACGGCAUCAGACCCAACAUGAAGUGGUUUAGCUGUGCCUUCCUGGUCGUUCUGCUGCUGACGCUGCUGGCCUCCGGCUCGGCAGCUCCUGGUGGAGGCGGCGGCGGUGGCGGCGGUGGCGGUGGCGGUGGCGGCGGUGGCGGAGGCGGUGGCGGCGGAGGCGGCGGCGGUGGCGGUGGCGGUGGCGGCCGUCGAUGAGGAAAGAAGUAGCUCCGAAUGAGUUCAACUACACGAGGAUCAUCUGAUCUGGCCGCUCUUGUCGACAGAAGUAAAAAGUUCACCUAAAGUUACAAAAUCAUCGGAAAUCUGCAUCUGCCCAAACCACAAGAUGGAAACAAAUUGUUGUUAAGCCUGACUGCUCGUUCGUUGAUGAAUUGUUCACGAAGGCCCACCGGCACCAGACGCAUAUGGUUUUUUCUUCUGACGUUCUAUGUUAGAUUGUUAGGAGCAAUGAUAUCGCUGGAUUGUAAUAAAAAAUCACUGGAG